rnacentral:lncRNA from 1 species
AACAGACACAUAAGUAUCACUUGCAGAGUUUGUUUUGGCAUACAAAUAAAGAGUAUUGGAAACGAUAGUGAAUGAUUCAAUAUGAUAUCCGCCGGACUUUUUCUGGUUAUAAAUGUGCUGGUCAGUCUACAACUUGCAGAUGGCCACAGUGAAAGUAUGUAUAUACGUAUUGUAAAGUUUAUGCAUAAAAGAUGUGUAUAUAUAUAUAUGGACACUUGUGAAUAUAAACAAAGAUGUGGUAUGAUUUCAAAUGAGACAACUCUUCAAAAGUGUUCAAAUGACACAGAAAUAAACAACUGUAUGUCACCGUAAGGUCUUCUUUUAUGUGCAAAGUCAAUACCGCAUAGUCAGCUUUAAAAUGCUCCAAAAUGGCAAUUGUAAAACAGUUCAAACGAAGGCUAUGCGUUCAGCCGAAAUAUUUGUUAACACGAUUUUAUAUACUGUAUCUUAUAUACAUUUGUAAGUACCGUUGCGCGAAUCUGAAUUCAAUAUUUUUUCUAGCCUUGAUGAUCUAAUACAUAUAAAAAUUUGCAAUGUUUUCCUUAAUAUAGACUUCCAUAUAGUACAUGUAAGUCUUGUGUGGACGAAAAGCACUUCUGACGUAUUAAAUUUUAAACCUGGUGCCUUUUUUUAGCUAUUAUUCGUGUGUUUCUUUGUCCAAUAUGUUCCCCUAUUUAUUUGUAUUGUUGUCCUGUAAUGUUAUGUUUUCAUUUUAAUGUUAUAUUUAACAUUGCCAUUAACGCGGGAGGUUUGGCAUGCCCACCAUUUUUUUUACUUUAAAAAAUGUCCUGUGUCAAGUCAGGAAUAUAGCCAUUUUUUUUAGUAUAGUUUGUUUCUGUGUGUGUUACAUGUUAUGGUUGUGUUUCUGUUGUGUCGUUUGUUUCCACUUAUAUUUGAGUGGGAAUUCACAUUACUAUAAAACGUGUCAUAGUACUUUUCUAUCCAAAUUUAUGUAUUUAGUUUUUUAUGUUAUAUUUGUUAUUCUCAUCGGAUUUUGUCUAAUGCUUAGUUAGUUUUUGUGUGUGUUAUAUAUCAAUGUUGUGUUGUUGUUCUUCUCUUAUAUUUAAUGCGUUUCUCCCAGUUUAAGUUUGUAACCCGGAUUUGUUUUUUUAUCUAUCGAUUUAUGAGUUUCGAACAGCGGUAUAUUACUGUUGCCUUAAUUUUUUGUGAUAGAUAAGAAGAUGGGAGAAAAUAUAAAAGACGGAAGAUAUUUACGUUUGAUCAAAGUUCUGCUAUCCCGUUUUACCUGUCCUGAAAACGCAUAUUGGGACUCUGACACAGAACAAUGUGAAAGUAAUGCAAGAGUUCAGAAGCAGUUGCUGCAAACGUCUGCUUCCUGCCCGCCAAAUGAACAGUGUCAGUGUGGUGAAGGUUAUUCCUAUGACCCGAUUAAAGGAAUGUGUAUACCUGGUAAGUCCUUUAUUACAUUUACUUUAUACAUGUAUGUCGUUUAUGUAUAGCACGGUAGUAUUUCCUUUUUUUAUAAUAUUCAGAUAUAUCAUGACCGUUUGCUUUUUUUUCUAUUUUUAUAAACCUAAGGCCACUAGUGAUUUAAGGUUUUUAUUAUGCAGUGCAUACAAAAUUUUAAAAAUUCCUCAAAAAUUGUAUGCAGUCCUACAUAAAUACGGUAUAAAAAAAGAGGAAUGGACUACACGCUUAUACGACAGAAACCCAACGACAUAAAUUACAAAACAAAACACAGUCUUCUCUAGAAAACAGAUGCUAUACACAAUUAUAAUUUUCAGAGUGUAAAACGUUGUGUAUAAAUUUAAAAUUAACUUUCACAUACUAUAAUAUACCAGCAACGAAUUUUGCAAAACCAAUAUUGAGAUAUGAAAUAAGACAACUAAAACAAGUAUCCAGAUUACGGAAAGACACAUGCCCUAGUGGCGGAGUUGAACUAUUUUUAACAAAUAUACGAUUGAUAGAUUUCUUUUGCCCUUCAUACCUAUUUUUAAAUGUUAUUGACAGUAAAAUGAAAAAAAAACAUUUUUUCGGUUUGUGUUCAUUUCCGAAAGAACUAAUUAUUAACUCACUAUUUUUUUUUCUGUAGAAUCAGGUUGCUGUAAUGGACACGUACCUUGAUGAAGUACGUUGGCAUGUGAUAAACAGAUAUGUUAUGUUAUAUUAUUUUCAAUAAAUCUGCGAGCAUCA